GUGCUCGCUUUGGCAGCACAUAUACUAAAAUUGGAAUGAUACAGAGAAGAUUAGCAUGGCCCCUGUGCAAGAAAGGUCAUUCAAAGGAGCUUCAAAGAUUAAAGAUAUUUUU